rnacentral:rRNA from 1 species
AAUGAAAACUUCAUUCUUGAUUCUACGAGAAUUUUUAUGAAAGCGUUUCAUUUGCUUCUCUUCAAUGGAAGUUUCAUUUUCCCAGAAUGUAUCCUAAUUUUUGGCCUAAUUCUUCUUACGAUGAGGGAAGGGGCAAGCUCCAGGAAGGCUUCACUCACUUGCUCAAAAAGCUCUAACGCUGGUUUACGAGUGGAGUGCAUAAGCCCUUAUUGA